AUUCAAACAGAUAAAAAAGGUACUUUUCACAAUGUCAUUUUCCACUCUGAUAAGGCCAAGCCGCUCCUGGAGAAAAAUCGACUGAUCGAAAUUGAUGGCACCUUUAAGGUCGUUCCCAAGAUUUUGCAUUUUUACCAGCUUCUCACUGUUUUAGUGGUGUACAAUGGCAUCCCUCUGCCCCUAUUUUUGCUUUAAUGACAAGGAAGACAACAGAGGCAUAUUUAGCUGUCAUGGCCUAUUUGAAAUCAACUUUCAAUCUCUCACCUGGAAGCUUCAUCACUGACAGUGAAAUUCCGCUCGUCAAUUCCUUAAUUAUAACUUUUCCUGAUACCCCUCGGUCUAAUUGUUAUUUUCAUUACACGCAGGGAGUCACCCUUGAAACUUUGAAACUGGGUUUGAGACCGCUCGCAGUGGAAGGAAUGGGGCGAAAAAUUUUUGGUUGCCUCCUAGCUAUUCCUCUUCUCCCGGCCGAUAAAAUUUGGGAGAGAGUAAGGAGCAUGAAAGCUCUUAUUGAGAAAUUUGACAAAGGAGACUUUGAAGAAGAAAAAGAUAAUGAGGAUGCAGAUGAACCAGGGAACAGUGCAGAAGACAACGAAACAGAUGUUGGAAUUGAAGUUUUAGAAGAAAGAGUUAUACAGGUAGCAGAAGCAUUGAUUGCCCAAGAGGAAGCUGCAAGUAGUGAAAAUGGGGCUAGAGGUACAGAAGAGGAAGCAGCAACUAGUAAGAUGGAGCUAGAGGUACAGAAGAGGAAGCAGCAACUAGUGAAGAUGGAGCUAAAGGUACAGAAGGGGAAGUCAGCAAUGAAGAUGGAGUUAACAAUGAGGGCGAAAAGAGCAAGAGGUCAGGCUUCUUAA
rnacentral:lncRNA from 1 species